AGAGUUUGAUCCUGGCUCAGAACGAACGCUGGCGGCAGGCCUAACACAUGCAAGUCGAGCGCACCUUCGGGUGAGCGGCGGACGGGUUAGUAACGCGUGGGAACAUACCCUUUUCUACGGAAUAGCCUCGGGAAACUGAGAGUAAUACCGUAUAAGCCCUUCGGGGGAAAGAUUUAUCGGGAAAGGAUUGGCCCGCGUUAGAUUAGAUAGUUGGUGGGGUAAUGGCCUACCAAGUCUACGAUCUAUAACUGGUUUUAAAGGAUGAUCAGCAACACUGGGACUGAGACACGGCCCAGACUCCUACGGGAGGCAGCAGUGGGGAAUCUUAGACAAUGGGCGCAAGCCUGAUCUAGCCAUGCCGCGUGUGUGAUGAAGGUCUUAGGAUCGUAAAGCACUUUCACCAGGGAUGAUAAUGACAGUACCUGGUAAAGAAACCCCGGCUAACUCCGUGCCAGCAGCCGCGGUAAUACGGAGGGGGUUAGCGUUGUUCGGAAUUACUGGGCCUGAAGCGUACGUAGGCGGAUUGGAAAGUUGGGGGUGAAAUCCCAGGGCUCAACCCUGGAACUGCCUCCAACACUAUCAGUCUAGAGUUCGAGAGAGGUGAGUGGAAUUCCAAGUGUAGAGGUGAAAUUCGUAGAUAUUUGGAGGAACACCAGUGGCGAAGGCGGCUCACUGGCUCGAUACUGACGCUGAGGUACGAAAGUGUGGGGAGCAAACAGGAUUAGAUACCCUGGUAGUCCACACCGUAAACGAUGAAUGCCAGUCGUCGGGCAGUAUACUGUUCGGUGACACACCUACGGAUUAAGCAUUCCGCCUGGGGAGUACGGUCGCAAGAUUAAAACUCAAAGGAAUUGACGG
rnacentral:rRNA from 1 species